AGAGUUUGAUCCUGGCUCAGAUUGAACGCUGGCGGCAUGCUUUACACAUGCAAGUCGAACGGCAGCACGGGGGCAACCCUGGUGGCGAGUGGCGAACGGGUGAGUAAUGCAUCGGAACGUAUCCUUAAGUGGGGGAUAACGCAUCGAAAGAUGCGCUAAUACCGCAUAAUCUCUGAGGAGAAAAGCAGGGGAUCGCAAGACCUUGCGCUUUUGGAGCGGCCGAUGUCUGAUUAGCUAGUUGGUGAGGUAAAGGCUUACCAAGGCUUCGAUCAGUAGCUGGUCUGAGAGGACGACCAGCCACACUGGGACUGAGACACGGCCCAGACUCCUACGGGAGGCAGC
rnacentral:rRNA from 1 species